GAGCGCCGUAGCAAUACGGAGCGGCAGACGGGAGAGUAACACGUGGGAACGUGCCCUUCAGUUCGGAACAACCCAGGGAAACUUGGGCUAAUACCGGAUACGUCCUUCGGGAGAAAGAUUUAUCGCCGAGAGAUUGGCCCGCGUCGGAUUAGCUAGUUGGUGAGGUAACGGCCCACCAAGGCUAUGAUCCGUAGCUGGUUUGAGAGAACGACCAGCCACACUGGGACUGAGACACGGCCCAGACUCCUACGGGAGGCAGCAGUGGGGAAUCUUGGACAAUGGGCGCAAGCCUGAUCCAGCCAUGCCGCGUGAGUGAAGAAGGCCUUAGGGUUGUAAAGCUCUUUCGCCGACGAAGAUAAUGACGGUAGUCGGAGAAGAAGCCCCGGCUAACUUCGUG
rnacentral:rRNA from 1 species